GCUAGGAUAGCUCAGUAGGAAGAGCAGUAGGCUUUUAUCCAAUUGGUCCUGGGUUCGAGUCCCAGUCCUCGUA
rnacentral:tRNA from 1 species